rnacentral:rRNA from 1 species
AACGAACGCUGGCGGCGUGCCUAACACAUGCAAGUCGAGCGCGAAAAGGGCAACCUGAGUAGAGCGGCGCACGGGUGCGUAACACGUGGGUAAUCUGCCUUAGAGUCGAGGAUAACCUUCCGAAAGGUUGGCUAAUACUCGGUAAGCUUACGGUGUCUUCGGACGCUGUGGGAAAAGUAGGCCUCUGUUUACAAGCUUACGCUCUGAGAUGAGCCCGCGGCCCAUCAGCUAGUUGGCGGUGUAACGGACCACCAAGGCAACGACGGGUAGCUGGUCUGAAAGGACGAUCAACCACACUGGAACUGAGACACGGUCCAGACUCCUACGGGAGGCAGCAGUGGGAAAUUUUCCACAAUGGGCGAAAGCCUGAUGGAGCAACGCCGCGUGUGUGAUGAAGGUUUUCGGAUCGUAAAGCACUUUCGACCGGGACGAAAAACCUCUGGCUAACAUCCAGGGGCCUGACGGUACCGGGAGAAGAAGCACCGGCUAACUCUGUGCCAGCAGCCGCCGUAA